rnacentral:rRNA from 1 species
AUGGUAGAGGAGCGUUGUGUAAGCCGUUGAAGCGAAAGCCGGGAGGCAUCGUGGAGGUAUCACAAGUGCGAAUGCUGACAUAAGUAACGAUAAGACGAGUGAAAAACUCGUCCGCCGGAAGACCAAGGUUUCCUAUCCAAUGUUAAUCAGGGUAGGGUGAGUCGGCCCCUAAGGCGAGGCAGAAAUGCGUAGUCGAUGGGAAACGGGCUAAUAUUCCCGUACCGGCUGUAACUGCGAUGGGGAGACGGAGAAGGCUAGGCCAGCAUGGUGAUGGUUAUCCAUGUUUAAGGGUGUAGGCUGGUGGAGUAGGUAAAUCCGCUCUGCUAAGGCUGAGACUUGAUGACGAGACUCGUAUGAGUUGAAGUGGUUGAUGCCCUGCUUCCAGGAAAAUCCUCUAAGCUUCAGGUUACAGACGACCGUACCCCAAACCGACACAGGUGGUCAGGUUGAGAAUACCAAGGCGCUUGAGAGAACUCGGGUGAAGGAACUAGGCAAAAUGGUGCCGUAACUUCGGGAGAAGGCACGCCGAUGAAGGUGAAGGACUUGCUCCGUAAGCUUUUGUCGGUCGAAGAUACCAGGUGGCUGCGACUGUUUAUUAAAAACACAGCACUCUGCAAACACGAAAGUGGACGUAUAGGGUGUGACGCCUGCCCGGUGCCGGAAGGUUAAUUGAUGGGGUUAUCUUCGGAGAAGCUCUUGAUCGAAGCCCCGGUAAACGGCGGCCGUAACUAUAACGGUCCUAAGGUAGCGAAAUUCCUUGUCGGGUAAGUUCCGACCUGCACGAAUGGCGUAACGAUGGCCACACUGUCUCCACCCGAGACUCAGUGAAAUUGAACUCGCUGUGAAGAUGCAGCGUCCCCGCGGCUAGACGGAAAGACCCCGUGAACCUUUACUAUAGCUUCACAGUGGACUUUGAAUUUGUUUGUGUAGGAUAGGUGGGAGGCUUAGAAGCGUGGACGCUAGUCUGCGUGGAGCCAACCUUGAAAUACCACCCUGACAACUUUGAGGUUCUAACUUAGAUCCGUUAUCCGGAUUGAGGACAUUGUGUGGUGGGUAGUUUGACUGGGGCGGUCUCCUCCCAAAGCGUAACGGAGGAGCACGAAGGUACCCUCAGGCUGGUCGGAAAUCAGCCAAUGAGCGCAAGAGUAGAAGGGUGCUUGACUGCGAGACAGACACGUCGAGCAGGUGCGAAAGCAGGUUCUAGUGAUCCGGUGGUUCUGAAUGGAAGGGCCAUCGCUCAACGGAUAAAAGGUACUCCGGGGAUAACAGGCUGAUACCGCCCAAGAGUUCACAUCGACGGCGGUGUUUGGCACCUCGAUGUCGGCUCAUCACAUCCUGGGGCUGAAGCCGGUCCCAAGGGUAUGGCUGUUCGCCAUUUAAAGUGGUACGCGAGCUGGGUUUAGAACGUCGUGAGACAGUUCGGUCCCUAUCUGCCGUGGGCGUUUGAGAUUUGAGAAGAGUUGCUCCUAGUACGAGAGGACCGGAGUGAACGAACCUCUGGUGUUCCGGUUGUCACGCCAGUGGCAUUGCCGGGUAGCUACGUUCGGACAGGAUAACCGCUGAAAGCAUCUAAGCGGGAAGCCCCCUUCAAGAUGAGAUCUCACUGGGCCCUUGAGGCCCCUAAAGAGUCGUCCGAGACCAGGACGUUGAUAGGCAGGGUGUGUAAGCGUUGU